AAUGGAGUGGCUGAAUUAUAGGCAUUAGAUUGUAAAUCUAACUAUGAGGUUUAACUCCUCCAUUA
rnacentral:tRNA from 1 species